rnacentral:misc_RNA from 1 species
GAAGAAGAAGAAGGAGAAGUAGAAGAAAGAGAAGCAACUUUAGCAAGCUACAAUGCCUACACAAAUGGAGUCUAGCAGUUCAUAUGGAUAUAUUCGAGAACAACAAAAGAAAUAAGAAGCAAUUGUUCUGCACAGGAAAGUAUAGAAUAGAAGCAGAACAAACAUCAAGUUGUUUAACAAAAUAUACAUAACCUACCGCUAGGAGUUUGUAGUCUCGAG